GACGUAGGGCGCGAGCGUUGUCCGGAUUUAUUGGGCGUAAAGAGCUCGUAGGCGGCUUGUUACGUCGACUGUGAAAUCCCGCGGCUCAACUGCGGGCUUGCAGUCGAUACGGGCAGGCUAGAGUUCGGUAGGGGAGACUGGAAUUCCUGGUGUAGCGGUGAAAUGCGCAGAUAUCGGGAGGAACACCGGUGGCGAAGGCGGUUCUCUGGGCCUGACCUGACGCUGAGGAGCGAAAGCGUGGGGAGCGAAC
rnacentral:rRNA from 1 species